UGAGACUGGUACCCUAACUCACCUUUCAGCCU
rnacentral:piRNA from 1 species